CAGGACCCGUCGUAUGAACUUCUACUAAUUCCUACUAUAAUUGAACAUGGCGGGGUUGGUAGCUCUGGACGUGGACUGGAUAACCUGCAGAGCUAUUGGACACAUUCAAAUUCGUUGAAACUCAAAGAGCCGGUUUCCUGCAUCCUCUGAUAAUCCUCGAGGACUCUCAGUUGUAGUCAAUUUCGUUACGUAAAAAUUAGUAAUUGAUACUGUCGUGUUUUUGGGAAUUAUGACAGAAACUCAACAAAAAGCAAAGUGUAUCACGUUGAAAGGCUCUGCAGAGCUUGUGAAACAAUAUCUACUUUAUGGCAUCAACAGCAUACUUUAUCAGAGAGGAAUAUAUCCACCAGAAACUUUUGAACCAGCUGAACAUUUUGGUCUAUUUUUUCUGAUGUCUACGGAUGAUAAAAUUAAGUCUUUUCUGGCAACUGUAUUAGGUCAAGUUGAGGAGUGGCUAGUACAAAAAAAAGUGUAUAAAUUAACUUUGGUAAUAACAAAUGUAAAUACAAAGGAAGUGUUAGAAAAAUGGGAUUUCAAGGUUGAUUAUGAAGCACCAGUUUCAAAUACUGUUACUAUUAUGGCUGGAGGAGAUUCACCUUUACCAGAAGUGGGUACAAAGGAUGUCAAAACAAUUCAGAAGGAGAUACGUGAAGUGAUUCGUCAAAUUACUGGUACUGUAAGUUUCUUACCUUUGUUGGAUUGCUUGUGCUCCUUUGAUAUUUUGACUUAUACUGUGCCUGACUGUGGAAUUCCAAAAGAGUGGGAUGAAACUCAACCUGUGUUUAUUGCUAAUAGUCAAGAAGUGCAACUUAGAUCAUUUUCAACUUCUAUACACAAAAUGGAUACGAUAGUCAGCUACAAAAACAAUUAAUUCUAAUGCUGAAAUAUAUACAAUGAAAUGUAAAAAACCUGUGGCUUUUAGUUUCAAGAGUAAACCCUGCUAACUGAUUGCCCACAUGAACUGAAGAGGACUUCGGAAGACUGUAUUGUUAAGCGCAACAACAGACCUGAACAUGAUAAAUGUAAUGGCGAUUUCAAGCAUAAGCCGUUGUGAAUCGCUGCAUGGCAUUGCAAGGCAUCCUAAGAUCUGUGUUGUCUACGAUGACUUCAGCAGUUGCAAUACUCUUCAGUACUCCUCACAUUCUGUCAGAGCAUUAUUAAAAAGCUGGUGCCUGUUGUACAUCGGUAAUACAAAAAUUGAUAGGAAUAAUUGUGACUGAGGAAGAAGAGGAAAACCUCUCCAAUUCAAUAAUGUGCACUUUCUGGCUACCACAGUAGAACCGAAUGGAACGGACAGCAACGUCUUCCUUCGCAGCUACAUUAUGUCAUGGCUAGUCUCUAAGAGAGAAGUUACUUGCAAAGGUCCUAACUGUCGGAUCUUCUUCUAU